rnacentral:rRNA from 1 species
GUUGACCUCGAAUCAGGUAGGAAUACCCGCUGAACUUAAGCAUAUCAAUAAGCGGAGGAAAAGAAACCAACAGGGAUUGCCUCAGUAACGGCGAGUGAAGCGGCAACAGCUCAAAUUUGAAAUCUGGCUCUCGGGCCCGAGUUGUAAUUUGUAGAGGAUGCUUUUGGUGAGGUGCCUUCCGAGUUCCCUGGAACGGGACGCCAUAGAGGGUGAGAGCCCCGUCUGGUUGGACGCCGAACCUCUGUAAAGCUCCUUCGACGAGUCGAGUAGUUUGGGAAUGCUGCUCUAAAUGGGAGGUAUAUGUCUUCUAAAGCUAAAUACCGGCCAGAGACCGAUAGCGCACAAGUAGAGUGAUCGAAAGAUGAAAAGAACUUUGAAAAGAGAGUUAAACAGUACGUGAAAUUGUUGAAAGGGAAGCGCUUGUGACCAGACUUGGGCUUGGUUGAUCAUCCGGGGUUCUCCCCGGUGCACUCUUCCGGCCCAGGCCAGCAUCAGUUCGCCCUGGGGGACAAAGGCUUCGGGAACGUGGCUCUCUCCGGGGAGUGUUAUAGCCCGUUGCGUAAUACCCUGUGGCGGACUGAGGUCGCGCAUCCGCAAGAUGC